rnacentral:tRNA from 1 species
CCCAAAGAAGCUAGUUCCGCAGCACUGGCCUUUUAAGCCAGAGAUUGGGCCGCUAGGCCCCUUAGGGA